GGCUUUAGCGGAUGCAUUUCAGCAUUGUGACUUGUAAACUAAAUAACUUGUAUUUUUACAAAUGCAAAAAAAGUGUUUAUUAGGUUUAUAAUUUUCAGAAAUUAUCAUUAAAAAUUAAUGGCCAUCCCCCCUUUCUUUGUAAAAGGUGGAUGAACUAUUCCAACAGUUAAAUAUCCCAGUGACUCUGCUUAAUCCAGGAUACUGAUCAUUCUCUAUGAAGACUGACAAUGUUUUCCAGAGAUGCAUACGGUGUGGCUCAUGGCGGGCUGCUGGCCUGACAGCGGGUUUGAUGUACUGGCGUGAAUUCCUGAAGGCACAUUACAGAUGAAACCACAGCGAGAGAAUGGCUUGGCUGAAAUUGUAUC